AACGCGUAAGCAACCUGCCCUCGACUGGGGGAUAGCCCGGCGAAAGCUGGGGUAAACCCGCACGGUCCCACGAAGUCACCUGGUUUUUUGGGUAAACAUUUAUGGGUUGAGGAGGGGCUUGCGUCUGAUUAGCUAGUUGGCGGGGUAACGGCCCACCAAGGCGAUGAUCAGUAGGGGUUCUGAGAGGAUUGGCCCCCACAUGGGUACUGAGAUACGGACCCAACUCCUACGGGAGGCAGCAGUAGGGAAUAUUGGGCAAUGGGCGCAAGCCUGACCCAGCCAUGCCGCGUGCAGGAUGAAGGCGCUCAGCGUUGUAAACUGCUUUUAUCGGUGAAGAACGGCAGUCCUGCGGGAUUGUGUGACGGUAGCCGAGGAAUAAGCACCGGCUAACUCCGUGCCAGCAGCCGCGGUAAUACGGAGGGUGCAAGCGUUGUCCGGAUUUAUUGGGUUUAAAGGGUGCGUAGGUGGUCGUCUAAGUCUGGUUUUAAAGUUGGCUGCUUAACAGUCAAAGGUGGCUGGAAACUGGACGACUUGAAUGGGAUGGCGGUAGCCGGAAUGGGUCAUGUAGCGGUGAAAUGCAUAGAUAUGACCCGG
rnacentral:rRNA from 1 species